rnacentral:rRNA from 1 species
AGAGUAUUUAAUUCUUAUACUCAUUUCUGGUUUUCUUUUAUGGUCCUUAUGCUUGGUUUUUAUUUUUAUUAAUUUAUUUUUUUGCAGAGGGGGAGAUUAGUCAAAGCUCGGAAGGGUGUUCUGGUUAUUAGAUUUUUUUGGGGCCUAAUGAAGUGCCAGCAGUCGCGGUAAUACUUUACUCAGGUUUAGAAGUGUUGUGGUUUAAAAUUUGAUGGUUUUAUAAAUUAGAAUAGUAGAUAUUUGGAUUUGUUUUUGGUGAAAUUUGGUUUAGCUGAAUGUUCUUUUGUUUCUUUAUUAUAUUUGUUAUUAUUUUCAAAAGUUUAGGGUUUUAACCAGGAUUAGAUACCCUGUUAUUCCUUUUAAAACUGAAUUUUUAUUUUUUUAUUUUUUUUGUUUACCGGGUUAGUAGGUUUUAAAUUGAAAGCCGAGGGAUUUGGUGGUUAAAUGAUCGCAUUAGAGGGGCUCGAUUUUUAAUUUGAUGGUCCGCGUGAUACCUUACUUAUUUUUGUUCUAACAGUUAGUGUAUUGCCGUUUAGAUUCACUUUUAGGGGUUUAGUAUGUUUUCUUGAGAGUUUUUUCUUAAUUUCAGGUCGUAAUCCUGCUUAUAUUUAAGGAGUUGGUUGAGUUACAUUUAAUUAUUAAAUUAAAAAUUUUUAAAAAUGAGGAGGUGAGUAGUGUAAUUUACUUUUUUAAGCUAACUAGAAUUUAAUAGUAAUUUUCUCAUAAGAUAGGGUUUAUGAAUUUGGUCUAUUUUUCGUACAUAUCGCCCGUCGCGCUGGCUGUUGUUAUUGGUUGGCUAAGUCGUAACAUGGUAGGACAACGUGAACGUUGUCCUGGGAUUUU